AUUGGGUCUCUCCUUCCUCGUUGGUUCGUCUAAAACAUUGUUGAAAUCGUUUUCGGAUCUUUUUCCAAAGCUCUCCUUUUUUUUAUGAUUCUCUUUUUCUCUUUCUUGUUUGUUGUUUCUUCGUGAAACUUGUAACUUGGGAGGAACGGAAUUUCUUUUGUUGGGUCCUGGUUUUUAUAUAUCCGCUUUCAUUUUCUGGGGUUUAGUCUAAUAUUUUGUCUCUUUUACCAUCCAUUUCUAUGAUUCAGAUCUAGAUGGAAUUGAUCUCCGUCGUUGGGAGAUAAGGGGAAAAUGUUGCCACAUAAGCAAGCCGAAGAAGCGAUUGUCUCGAAUUUUAACGAGACGGAGCAUGAAGGAAAGGAGGAGAAGACAGAUCAGUCCAUGUUUAACGUGAAGAGCCUCCUCUGGCAUGGCGGCUCCGUUUAUGACGCCUGGUUCAGUUGCGCUUCGAAUCAAGUAGCUCAGGUGCUGUUAACGUUGCCAUACUCGUUCUCUCAGCUGGGAAUGCUCUCAGGCAUAUUAUUCUAGAUAUUCUACGGCCUUGUCAGUAGCUGGACUGCUUAUCUCAUCAGCGUCCUAUACAUUGAGUACCGAAGUAGAAAGGAGAAGGAGAACGCGAGCUUUAAGAACCAUGUGAUACAGUGGUUCGAAGUGCUUGACGGAUUACUGGGUCCAUACUGUAAAGCUGUGGGACUGGCCUUCAGCUGUACAUUUCUCCUCUUUGGGUCUGUUAUACAGCUAAUAGCUUGCGCAAGCUGAUCUAUGGUGGGUUCGAUGAUGAGAGCAGCAACAUAUAUUACAUAAACGACCGACUGGAUAAGAGGACAUGGACGUACAUCUUCG